GUACAGGGAGUUCUCAUGUGCCUGUCCCUAACCCACUCCCACAUCCAGUUUCCCUUAUUAUUAACAUCUUACAUUAAUAUGGUACAUUUGCCAUGAUUAACGAACCAAUAUUGAUAUGUUAUGAACUAAAGUCCAUAGUUCGUUCAGAUUUAUUUAGUUUUGCCCCUAAUGCCUAUCUCUGUUUCAGAGUCCUAUCAGGAUCCCACAGCACAUUCAGCUGUCAUGUCUCCUUAGGCCACUCCUGGCUGUGUAAAACAAAACCCAAAACAAAUAGAAGCUCCUCAAAACCAGUUUUUGGUCAAGAAACUCAGGUCCGGAGAUUCAUCUCCCUGUGGCUCUCACACUGGGCAUAUACCCCUCACAUUGGCUCAUCCCUUGGCAUUGAUGGCGUGUGGCAUCGAGAUGGAGGAGGGAGCACAGGGGCAAGGAGGUGAAGUUCAGUAAGAAAGGUACCAAGACUUGUGCUGUUUGCCUGCAUCAGAGCGUGGGCAGCCAGGACGCGCCGCAAUUUCGGAGCGCGGGAGCCGUUCGCCCGGUGCCAGGCAUUAGGAAGCUGGGCCGUCGUAGGUUGCCUGGCCCUAGGUACACAGCUGAAUUUUGAGCUCUUUAGCCCAGUUUUGUCCUUUGAAUUCCUUUAUAAAUGACAGCGCCUUGUGAUGGUUAUUUCUUUUCCUUUUCCAAAAAGGAAAGGACUGAUACGUAAGCGUCUGAAAAUGAGAGCGAGGAAGAUCGAGGCUAGAGAGAGGAGGAGUGAGUUGGGGCUGGGGCAGAUCCCCUCUUCCGUUUUUGCUUAGACUUUGCGCGACAGGGACGAGGGACCCCAGUGGACUUCAGAGGGCGGAUGGAGUAGACGAUUUCCGUGGGGGUUGAUUUGGUAAGUUGGGCAUGGACUGUCCUACCACCGAAAUAACCUCUCCACUCUUCACUUUGAUUUCUUCCUUUGAGUUAGGCAUCGCCUUCUCUAGGGGACUCUUUAAAAGGCAAAUCUUUUGUGAAGGCUAACCAGGAAACUUUAAAGGCUCGAUAAGAAUGAAAUUCUCAGAUUGGUGGUUCCCAGAUCUGGCCGAUCAUUUCAAGCCCUUGAGGUACUUGUUAGGCACACGGAUUCCGGGAGCUCACCCUAGACCUGGGAGGAAUCAGAAUAUCUGAUACCUGUAUCUAAUAGUUACCAAAAAAGCAUCUCAGAUAUUUGAAUGAUUUGGAAAUUU
rnacentral:lncRNA from 12 species